CCAACAAAGAACGAGCUAUGUUGUACAUGAAUCGGAAAGGUUUUUAUUCCAUGAAUGUACAGGUAGUCUGCGAUGCACAGCGUCGAAUUCUAGAUAUUGUUGCCAGAUGGAGGGGUAGCGCUCAUGAUUCCCGAAUAUUGGACUCAAGUCGUCUGAAGGCAGAGUUUGAGAUAAUUAUAAUAUCUUUAUUUACACCUAGCACUGCAUACACGUGUUAAUACCUGAUUCCAACUGUCAAGGGAACACAGAAUGACAGGAAUAUUGUUAGGUGAUGCAAGUUAUCCUUGCAGACCGUAUCUCUUGACACCUUUUUUGAACCCUCAAACUGUUAUUGAAAAUAGAAAAUAGAUAUAACUGGGCCUAUAUUCGCACUCGUAUUCACAUUGAAAGAUGUUUUGGCGAAUGGAAAGGGAUGUUUAAAGCAUGAACAAAACAAUAUGCAGAUUAAUUUAGAGACAGCAAAAAUUGCAAUUAUUGCUAUGGCAGUUCUUUUUAACAUACGGAAACAUUUUGACAAUUUUGAAUACGAAAUUGGUGAUGAUGAUGAAAACCAAAAUGAUAGCGAAGAAGAACCUGCUGUUCUACAUGCAAUUGUACAAACUGGCGC